rnacentral:rRNA from 1 species
GAUGAACGCUGGCGGCGUGCCUAAUACAUGCAAGUCGAGCGAACAGAUGAGGAGCUUGCUCCUCUGACGUUAGCGGCGGACGGGUGAGUAACACGUGGAUAACCUACCUAUAAGACUUGGAUAACUUCGGGAAACCGGAGCUAAUACCGGAUAAUAUAUUGAACCGCAUGGUUCAAUAGUGAAAGACGGUUUUGCUGUCACUUAUAGAUGGAUCCGCGCCGCAUUAGCUAGUUGGUAAGGUAACGGCUUACCAAGGCAACGAUGCGUAGCCGACCUGAGAGGGUGAUCGGCCACACUGGAACUGAGACACGGUCCAGACUCCUACGGGAGGCAGCAGUAGGGAAUCUUCCGCAAUGGGCGAAAGCCUGACGGAGCAACGCCGCGUGAGUGAUGAAGGUCUUCGGAUCGUAAAACUCUGUUAUUAGGGAAGACCAAAUGUGUAAGUAACUAUGCACGUCUUGACGGUACCUAAUCAGAAAGCCACGGCUAACUACGUG